AUGAAGCAAUCGCCCACCCCAGGGACGCCACCUUCCCCGCCGCCUCUUCAGCGAUUCCCCCGGGGCCUGCGGCCUCGCACGCACGCCCUCUCCUGCGAAAGGCGGCCUGGCCCAGGGCUGAUGCCGCACCCCUGCCACCUGCCCGGGCCACGCCGCGCGGCUCCAGGUGGCACAGCCGCCCGGCACGGCGCAACUUCUCCGGCGUGGAAACCCGCCGCGGCGCCCCGAGGGACGGCUUUGUUGGACGCGUCCAGCUGUCCUCCUCCACCGCCGGGCCACGAAGACCUCGCCCGGUGCCCGCUGGCAAGGCAUCCCCGCCGGCGCGGUCCCCGACACCUGGUACCGUGUGCCAAACCCCCGAACCGACCGCGACCUCUCCGUCCGAUCGCAGGCGAACUGAAUGGAUUUAUGAGCCGAAAACCUUGGAGACCGACCGCAACCUCUCCAUUGGAUUGUAGGCAGAUUUGAUCCGUUUAUGACCCGGAGACCUUGUUCUGGGCCGAGAGGCUGACCACCACCUCUCCUUUCGAUCGUAGGAAAAUGUCGUUGAUGUCUGACCCAGGUCCCUUGUGCUAACGCCCCACACCGACCACGACCUCUGCAUUCGAUCAUAAGCAAAUUUUAUCGAUUUAUGAUCCAAAAACUUAUUCUGGGCCGAGAGACUGACCACCAGCUCUCCCUUCGACCAUAGACAAAUAUUAUGGAUUUAUGAUCCAGAGACCUUGCUCCAAACCAGUACACUGACCACCACCUCUCCAUUCAAUCAUAGGCAAAUUUUAUCGAUUUAUGAUGGCCCAGGUGCCUUGUUCUGGGCCGAGAGACCAACCAUGACCUCUCCAUUGGAUCAUAGGCAAACUUUAUGGAUUUAUGACCCAGUGCCAACAACUUGUGACUCCACCAGGACAGUGACUCUGUGUCUCCGGGACUGAGACCAGAUCCAGUGCCAACACCUUCUGUUCAGCACUGGGGAGCCCACAUCUGGAGUCCUGUGCCCAGUUUGGGGCCCCCACUACAGAAAGGAUGUGGAUAAGUUGGAAAGAGUCCAGCAGAGGGCAACAAAAAUGGUCAGGGGGCUGGGGGACAGGACUGGUGACGGGAAGCUGAGGGAACUAGGUUUGCUGAGUCUGGAGAAGAGAAGACUGAGGGGGGAUUUAAUAGCAUCCUCCAACUCCCUGCGGGGUGGCUCCAAAAAGGAUGAAGCUGAACUAUUCUCAGUGGUGGCAGAUGACAGAACAAGGAGUGAUGGGGUCCAGUUGCAGCACGGGAGGUUUGGGUUAGAUGUUAGGAAAACUUUCUCACUAGGAGGGUAGAAAUGCACUGGAACUGGUUACCCAGAGAGGCGGCGGCAUCUAAGUCCUUGGAGGUUUUGAAGACCCGGCUAGACAAAGCCCUGGCUGGGAUGCCGUAGUUGGGGCUGUUCCUGCUUGGAGCAGGGGUUGGACUCGAUGUGACCUCCUGAGCGCCUUUC
rnacentral:lncRNA from 1 species